rnacentral:tRNA from 1 species
GGGUGAUUAGCUCAGCUGCGAGAGCACCUCCCUUACAAGGAGGGGGUCGGCGGUUCGAUCCCUUCAUCACCCACCA